GGAGUCCAGGACUUGAGUCUCAGGCUCUUCGGGGUCGGAGCAAGGCUCGGGACUCGCCGGUCUCUCUCUUCGCUCCCACACACCAGCCCGUGUUUGCCUCGCGAUGAAGUUGUUCCAGUUGAACAAAGAAGGCACUGAGU